GCGGGGUUAGCUCAAUUGGAUAGAGCACCUGACUACGAAUCAGGAGGUUAGGGGUUCGACUCCCUUACUCCGUGCCA
rnacentral:tRNA from 3 species